AAUCAACGCUGGCGGCGUGCCUAACACAUGCAAGUCGAACGAGAAAGUGGAGCAAUCCAUGAGUACAGUGGCGACCGGGUGAGUAACACGUGAUUAACCCACCCUCGAGUGGGGGAUAACUCCGGGAAACCGGGGCUAAUACCGCAUAACAUCGCGAGGUGAAAUUCCUUGUGAUCAAAGGAGCAAUUCGCUUGAGGAGGGAGUCGCGUCUGAUUAGCUAGUUGGUGAGGUAACGGCCCACCAAGGCAAUGAUCAGUAGCCGGCCUGAGAGGGCGCACGGCCACACUGGAACUGAAACACGGUCCAGACUCCUACGGGAGGCAGCAGUGGGGAAUUUUGCGCAAUGGGGGAAACCCUGACGCAGCAACGCCGCGUGGAGGAUGAAGUCCUUUGGGAUGUAAACUCCUUUCGACCGGGACGAUUAUGACGGUACCGGAGGAAGAAGCACCGGCUAACUCUGUGCCAGCCGCCGCAGUAAGAC
rnacentral:rRNA from 1 species